rnacentral:rRNA from 1 species
UACGUAGGGCGCAAGCGUUGUCCGGAAUUAUUGGGCGUAAAGAGCUCGUAGGCGGCUUGUCACGUCGGGUGUGAAAGCCCGGGGCUUAACCCCGGGUCUGCAUUCGAUACGGGCUAGCUAGAGUGUGGUAGGGGAGAUCGGAAUUCCUGGUGUAGCGGUGAAAUGCGCAGAUAUCAGGAGGAACACCGGUGGCGAAAGCGGCUCUCUGGAACGGUACUGACGCUGAGACGCGAAAGCGUGGGGAGCGAACAGG